rnacentral:rRNA from 1 species
UAAUAGCUUCAUUUUUUAGUUACCCUGGUAUGCCACAUGUAAGGAAAAACCCAAACCAGCUUAUCAGUAUAAAGUUAAACAACUAAAGCAAACGUAAAGAUAGGCGAGCCACAGUGCUCAACAUUAAACAAUUCUUUCGGUAGAGAUUUAAAUACAGGGUAUCAGAGAGGGCAAACAGCGUGCCAGCAGCCGCGGUUAUACGCUGCUCUCAACUGAAAAGCAAAUCAAUCCUAGUGCCUAAGUACGUUCUUUAUUAGUAGAAUAUAUGAGAAAAAGAAUUCACGCAACCACUGACCUUCCUAAAAAAGGAGAGUUAAGAGACAGGGAUUAGAUACCCCAUUAUUCUCUCCCGCGAGAUGAGUACUACGAUUCCUAAAUUAAAACUCAAAUUACUUGGCGGCCUUUCAUCACACACCAGAGGAGUUUGUGCCAUAAUCGAUAACCCGCGAGAUACCUAACCACUCUUCGACAAUCAGCUAGUAUAUCCUCGUCGUCAAAUAACUCUAUAAAGACGUUAUUUCAAAGUAAAUUAACCCAAAGUCAGAUCAAGAUGCUGCUUAUGGAGUGGGUGUUUCAUGAACUACAAAAGCUUUAGAAAAAUUCUAACUUAAGGUGUUAAAUAACCUAAUGUUAGGAGGAUUUGGAAGUAAUAUUAUAAAUAUAGAAGAAAGAUAUGAAAAAUGAAAUGAAAGGUGCACACAUCGCCCGUCACUCUCGUCUUUAAGACGAGAAAAGUCGUAACAAAGUAGAAGUACCGGAAGGUGUUUCUAGAAUCUUUCCUCAGUUAACUAUAACAGAGGACCCUCAAAUAUUCAUAGAACCUCAGUAACCUCAAAGGUCGGAAAGAAUUUGGUAAUUUAAUUUUUAGAAAGAUACGAAAGAUCUUAUCUUCUUUUAUUCAAAGUAUAGCUAGGAAGUAAGCUUUU